GACGAACGCUGGCGGCGUGCUUAACACAUGCAAGUCGAACGGAAAGGCCAUGCUCUUGUGGGGUUCUCGAGUGGCGAACGGGUGAGAAACACGUGAGUAACCUGCCCUUGACUUAGGGAUAUCUUCAGGAAACUGGGGCUAAUACCGGAUAGGAGCUCCUGAUCCGCGGUGGUGGUUGGAAAGUUUCGGCGGUUCGGGAUGGACUCGCGGGUUAUCAGCCUCUUGGGGGGGUGGUGGCUUACCAAGGCUUUGACGGGCAGCGGGCCUGAGCGGGUGACCGGCCACACUGGGACCGAGGGACGGCCCAACCUGCUACGGGAGGGAGCAGUGAGGAAUAUUGCACGAUGGGCGGCAGCCUGAUGCAGCAACGCCGCGUGCGGGAUGACUGUCUUAGGGUUGUAGACCGCUUGCGCAUGUGACGAAGCGUGAGUGACGGUAAUGUGUAAAGAAGGACCGGCUAAAUUCGUG
rnacentral:rRNA from 1 species